rnacentral:rRNA from 1 species
GACGAACGCUGGCGGCGUGCUUAACACAUGCAAGUCGAGCGGUAAGGCCCUUUCGGGGGUACGACGAGCGGCGAACGGGUGAGUAACACGUGGGUGACCUGCCCUCAGCUCUGGGAUAAGCCUGGGAAACCGGGUCUAAUACUGGAUAUGACUCCAUGACGCAUGUUGUGGGGUGGAAAGCCUUGUGCGGCUGAGGAUGGGCCCGCGGCCUAUCAGCUUGUUGGUGGGGUGAGGCCUACCAAGGCGACGACGGGUAGCCGGCCUGAGAGGGCGACCGGCCACACUGGGACUGAGACACGGCCCAGACUCCUACGGGAGGCAGCAGUGGGGAAUCUUGCGCAAUGGGGCGAAAGCCUGACGCAGCGACGCCGCGUGAGGGAUGAC